rnacentral:rRNA from 1 species
GGUUAAGCGACUAAGCGUACACGGUGGAUGCCCUGGCAGUCAGAGGCGAUGAAGGACGUGCUAAUCUGCGAAAAGCGUCGGUAAGGUGAUAUGAACCGUUACAGCCGGCGAUGUCCGAAUGGGGAAACCCAGUGCAAUUCGUUGCACUAUCGUUAACUGAAUACAUAGGUUAACGAGGCGAACCGGGGGAACUGAAACAUCUAAGUACCCCGAGGAAAAGAAAUCAACCGAGAUUCCCCCAGUAGCGGCGAGCGAACGGGGAGCAGCCCAGAGUCUGAAUCAGCUUGUGUGUUAGUGGAACGGUCUGGAAAGUCCGACGGUACAGGGUGAUAGUCCCGUACACCAAAAUGCACAGGCUGUGAACUCGAAGAGUAGGGCGGGACACGUGGUAUCCUGUCUGAAUAUGGGGGGACCAUCCUCCAAGGCUAAAUACUCCUGACUGACCGAUAGUGAACCAGUACCGUGAGGGAAAGGCGAAAAGAACCCCGGCGAGGGGAGUGAAAAAGAACCUGAAACCGUGUACGUACAAGCAGUGGGAGCACCUUCGGGUGUGACUGCGUACCUUUUGUAUAAUGGGUCAGCGACUUAUAUUCUGUAGCAAGGUUAACCGUAUAGGGGAGCCGCAGGGAAACCGAGUCUUAACUGGGCGUUAAGUUGCAGGGUAUAGACCCGAAACCCGGUGAUCUAGCCAUGGGCAGGUUGAAGGUUGGGUAACACUAACUGGAGGACCGAACCGACUAAUGUUGAAAAAUUAGCGGAUGACUUGUGGCUGGGGGUGAAAGGCCAAUCAAACCGGGAGAUAGCUGGUUCUCCCCGAAAGCUAUUUAGGUAGCGCCUCGUGAAUUCAUCUUCGGGGGUAGAGCACUGUUUCGGCUAGGGGGUCAUCCCGACUUACCAACCCGAUGCAAACUACGAAUACCGAAGAAUGUUAUCACGGGAGACACACGGCGGGUGCUAACGUCCGUCGUGAAGAGGGAAACAACCCAGACCGCCAGCUAAGGUCCCAAAGUCACAGUUAAGUGGGAAACGAUGUGGGAAGGCACAGACAGCCAGGAUGUUGGCUUAGAAGCAGCCAUCAUUUAAAGAAAGCGUAAUAGCUCACUGGUCGAGUCGGCCUGCGCGGAAGAUGUAACGGGGCUAAACUGUGCACCGAAGCUGCGGCAGCGACACUUAGGUGUUGUUGGGUAGGGGAGCGUUCUGUAAGCCUGCGAAGGUGGCCUGUGAGGGUUGCUGGAGGUAUCAGAAGUGCGAAUGCUGACAUAAGUAACGAUAAUGCGGGUGAAAAGCCCGCACGCCGGAAGACCAAGGGUUCCUGUCCAACGUUAAUCGGGGCAGGGUGAGUCGACCCCUAAGGCGAGGCCGAAAGGCGUAGUCGAUGGGAAACAGGUUAAUAUUCCUGUACUUGGUGUUACUGCGAAGGGGGGACGGAGAAGGCUAUGUUAGCCGGGCGACGGUUGUCCCGGUUUAAGCAUGUAGGCGGAGGUUCCAGGUAAAUCCGGUACCUUAUUAACGCUGAGGUGUGAUGACGAGGCACUACGGUGCUGAAGUAACAAAUGCCCUGCUUCCAGGAAAAGCCUCUAAGCAUCAGGUAACAUUAAAUCGUACCCCAAACCGACACAGGUGGUCAGGUAGAGAAUACCAAGGCGCUUGAGAGAACUCGGGUGAAGGAACUAGGCAAAAUGGUGCCGUAACUUCGGGAGAAGGCACGCUGAUAUGUAGGUGAAGCCCCUGCGGGUGGAGCUGAAAUCAGUCGAAGAUACCAGCUGGCUGCAACUGUUUAUUAAAAACACAGCACUGUGCAAACACGAAAGUGGACGUAUACGGUGUGACGCCUGCCCGGUGCCGGAAGGUUAAUUGAUGGGGUUAUCCGUAAGGAGAAGCUCUUGAUCGAAGCCCCGGUAAACGGCGGCCGUAACUAUAACGGUCCUAAGGUAGCGAAAUUCCUUGUCGGGUAAGUUCCGACCUGCACGAAUGGCGUAAUGAUGGCCAGGCUGUCUCCACCCGAGACUCAGUGAAAUUGAACUCGCUGUGAAGAUGCAGUGUACCCGCGGCAAGACGGAAAGACCCCGUGAACCUUUACUAUAGCUUGACACUGAACAUUGAGCCUUGAUGUGUAGGAUAGGUGGGAGGCUUUGAAGCGUGGACGCCAGUCUGCGUGGAGCCAACCUUGAAAUACCACCCUUUAAUGUUUGAUGUUCUAACGUUGGCCCCUAAUCGGGGUUGCGGACAGUGUCUGGUGGGUAGUUUGACUGGGGCGGUCUCCUCCCAAAGAGUAACGGAGGAGCACGAAGGUUAGCUAAUCCUGGUCGGACAUCAGGAGGUUAGUGCAAUGGCAUAAGCUAGCUUGACUGCGAGCGUGACGGCGCGAGCAGGUGCGAAAGCAGGUCAUAGUGAUCCGGUGGUUCUGAAUGGAAGGGCCAUCGCUCAACGGAUAAAAGGUACUCCGGGGAUAACAGGCUGAUACCGCCCAAGAGUUCAUAUCGACGGCGGUGUUUGGCACCUCGAUGUCGGCUCAUCACAUCCUGGGGCUGAAGUAGGUCCCAAGGGUAUGGCUGUUCGCCAUUUAAAGUGGUACGCGAGCUGGGUUUAGAACGUCGUGAGACAGUUCGGUCCCUAUCUGCCGUGGGCGCUGGAGAAUUGAGGGGGGCUGCUCCUAGUACGAGAGGACCGGAGUGGACGCAUCACUGGUGUUCGGGUUGUCAUGCCAAUGGCAUUGCCCGGUAGCUAAAUGCGGAAGAGAUAAGUGCUGAAAGCAUCUAAGCACGAAACUUGCCCCGAGAUGAGUUCUCCCUGAGACUUUAAGUCUCCUGAAGGAACGUUAAAGACGAUGACGUUGAUAGGUCGGGUGUGUAAGCGUAGCGAUACGUUGAGCUAACCGAUACUAAUGAACCGUGAGGCUUAACCUU